AUAGCGACGGCAACGGGCGCUGCGGAGUGCUCCGAGCCGUGAGGGCGGGGCCGGCGCGAUGCCCCGCCCCUUCGAUAGCUCAUCUUUGCGCGUCGCAGUCGCGCGGAGCCCGGCUUCCGACGUGCAGCCUGGCAGUGCAGUGAGCUGUCUGGCCUUUUGUCCUUGAUCCUUGGUUAAGGAAAUGACCAACCAGGUAAGACCUGUGUUGAAGGGAAAAACAUCAAUUGGUCUCUUUGCCAAGUUCAAGUCCAGUAGGUUUUCUGGAUGUGUAGUCAAGAAACUAGCAUCUCAUUCUUGCCUGGCUCCUAAAGAGCUGGGUGACCCUGGGUACCUAGUCACCACAGUGUUAGGUGGGACUAGUGAAAUGCAAAUACUGAGAGGAGGAUUGGUUCAUCCAAGUCUUUACCACAAUUUAGUGAGUAAUAGAAGAAGCUUAAAAGAUGUUGUACAAAAAAAAAAAAAAAAAGAUCAGAAUAGGAGAUAGAACAGGAGAAACAUAUCUUUGUAAUAAGAUUAGGGACAAAGUUAAUAGACGGUUAGGCAGGCUGUGUGUUCUUAUUGCAGCUGCAAAAUUUAAGCUACAAACUGGACUUUGAGCUUCCUUGGUGAUCAGAACAGAAAAAGAAAACAUAAUUUAUUGGUCUCUUGUUGAGUGAGUUUGGGUAGUAGGAAGGAGGGGAGAAUGUCAGUUUCUUUAAGAAUUUUUUUCUGAUAUGACUGUACAAAUCUUGCAUGAAUGGGAAUCAAGGAGCUUGCGGGAUGGCCAGGUUGACAGCAGAGGAAGUAACUAACACUGUGGUGACUCUGUCUACUCGGGGAGGAGUGCUUUCUGGAGGCAAUGUGAGACAUCUGAAAUCUGACCAUGGGUUUAAUGUGGCUUCUGUUCUUUUUUAGUACGGUAUUCUCUUCAAACAAGAGCAAGGUAAGUAGCCUGCCUGUUUAAGCAAUUCAUCUGUGAAAAAAACUGUGUUGUCCCUGGUUUAAGACUUUUGUCAUGCUGACCAGACAUGCAGUUUUCAAGUAUACUCACUUUGCAGAAGAAUUGGCAGCUGAAAACAAAUACUCUUAAAAAACAGACAACAACAACAACAACAACAAAAACCUGAACAACCAGCUAAAAAAAAAAAGCAG
rnacentral:lncRNA from 1 species